rnacentral:rRNA from 1 species
AACACAUGCAAGUCGAGGGGCAGCGGGAAGUCAGCUUGCUGGCUUUGCCGGCGACCGGCGCACGGGUGAGUAACACGUAUCCAACCUCCCGCAUACUCGGGAAUAGCCUUUCGAAAGAAAGAUUAAUGCCCGAUGGUUUCAAGGGAUUGCAUGGUAUCUUGAAUAAAGAUUCAUCGGUAUGCGAUGGGGAUGCGUUCCAUUAGGCAGUUGGCGGGGUAACGGCCCACCAAACCGACGAUGGAUAGGGGUUCUGAGAGGAAGGUCCCCCACAUUGGAACUGAGACACGGUCCAAACUCCUACGGGAGGCAGCAGUGAGGAAUAUUGGUCAAUGGGCGAGAGCCUGAACCAGCCAAGUAGCGUGAAGGAUGACUGCCCUACGGGUUGUAAACUCCUUUUAUAGAGGAAUAAAGUUGCGUAUGUAUACGCAUUUGCAUGUACUUUAUGAAUAAGCAUCGGCUAACUCCGUGCCAGCAGCCGCGGUAAUACGGAGGAUGCGAGCGUUAUCCGGAUUUAUUGGGUUUAAAGGGAGCGUAGACGGGAUGUCAAGUCAGCUGUGAAAGUUUGCGGCUCAACCGUAAAAUUGCAGUUGAAACUGGCUUUCUUGAGUGCGGUAGAGGCAGGCGGAAUUCGUGGUGUAGCGGUGAAAUGCUUAGAUAU